rnacentral:rRNA from 1 species
UACGAAGGGGGCUAGCGUUGUUCGGAUUUACUGGGCGUAAAGCGCACGUAGGCGGAUCGUUAAGUCGGGGGUGAAAUCCUGGAGCUCAACUCCAGAACUGCCUUCGAUACUGGCGAUCUUGAGUCCGGAAGAGGUGAGUGGAACUCCUAGUGUAGAGGUGGAAUUCGUAGAUAUUAGGAAGAACACCAGUAGCGAAGGCGGCUCACUGGUCCGGUACUGACGCUGAGGUGCGAAAGCGUGGGGAGCAAACAGG